UAGAGUUUGAUUCCCUGCUCAGGAUGAACGCUGGCGGCGUGCUUAACACAUGCAAGUCGAACGAUGAAGACCGUGCUUGCACGGUUGGAUUAGUGGCGAACGGGUGAGUAUCACGUGAGUAACCUUCCCUUAACUCUGGGAUAAGCCCGGGAAACUGGGUCUAAUACCGGAUACGACCAGUCCUCGCAUGGGGUGCUGGUGGAAAGAUUUAUCGGUUUUGGAUGGACUCGCGGCCUAUCAGCUUGUUGGUGAGGUAAUGGCUCACCAAGGCAAUGACGGGUAGCCGGCCUGAGAGGGUGACCGGCCACACUGGGACUGAGACACGGCCCAGACUCCUACGGGAGGCAGCAGUGGGGAAUAUUGCACAAUGGGCGAAAGCCUGAUGCAGCGACGCCGCGUGCGGGAUGACGGCCUUCGGGUUGUAAACCGCUUUCAGCAGGGAAGAAGCGAAAGUGACGGAC
rnacentral:rRNA from 1 species